UACGGAGGGUGCAAGCGUUAUCCGGAUUCACUGGGUUUAAAGGGUGCGUAGGUGGGCAGGUAAGUCAGUGGUGAAAUCUCCGGGCUUAACCCGGAAACUGCCAUUGAUACUAUCUGUCUUGAAUACCGUGGAGGUGAGCGGAAUAUGUCAUGUAGCGGUGAAAUGCUUAGAUAUGACAUAGAACACCAAUUGCGAAGGCAGCUCACUACACGAAUAUCGACACUGAGGCACGAAAGCGUGGGGAUCAAACAGG
rnacentral:rRNA from 1 species